GAGUUUGAUCCUGGCUCAGAACGAACGCUGGCGGCGUGCUUAACACAUGCAAGUCGAACGUGAUCCGGAGCUUGCUCCGGUGAAAGUGGCGCACGGGUGAGUAACGCGUGGAUAAUCUGCCCUGGUAUCUGGGAUAACAUCUCGAAAGGGGUGCUAAUACCGGAUAAGCCUACGGUCUCUUCGGAGUCUGCAGGAAAAGGUGGCCUCUAUUUAUAAGCUACCGUAUCAGGAUGAGUCCGCGUACCAUUAGCUAGUUGGUGGGGUAAUGGCCCACCAAGGCUACGAUGGUUAGCUGGUCUGAGAGGAUGAUCAGCCACACUGGAACUGAGACACGGUCCAGACUCCUACGGGAGGCAGCAGUGGGGAAUUUUGCGCAAUGGGGGAAACCCUGACGCAGCAACGCCGCGUGAGUGAUGAAGGCUUUCGGGUCGUAAAGCUCUGUCAGAGGGGAAGAAAUGAGUCUGGCUAAUAUCCAGAUUUCUUGACGGUACCCUCAAAGGAAGCACCGGCUAACUCCGUGCCAGCAGCCGCGGUAAUAC
rnacentral:rRNA from 1 species